UCUUGCAAACCAUACUUAUUGAUAUGUGUGACAUUUGAAGGAAUUUGAGCUACAAUUUGCUGAAUUCGUCAACGCUUUACGGAAUGUUUCAGAACCAUAAUACACUGAACAUGCUGAGAACGCUGUUUUUAGAUAGCAAUCCACUAACAACACUGAUACCAGCAACAUUUAAAGGCCUUGAAAAUCUUAACAGACUCUCUGUUAGUAGCUGUGAAAUAAAAUUCAUUCAAGUAGGAUCAUUUACUGGGCUGAGAAAUGUACAAAAUUU